rnacentral:lncRNA from 1 species
UUUUGUUUUUCAUUUUUAUGCCCUGUUUUUUACUACUAUUUUAUGUUUUUUUCUAGUUUUUAUCUCUCUGUCUUAAUUAUAUUUGUAUAUUUUCGUAUUAGUUUGCUUAGAAAAAUGCACUUCAUUUAGUCUUGGUUACACAUUUCCAAUUUUUCCUAAUUCAGACAAAAUUAUUCAUAUUCAGUUUAGUUCUCCUCCUCUCUUAUGAUAUUAUGCUUCUUC